UCUUCUGGGGAGCUCUGAAUGAAAUAAAGAAAGCAAAGAUUGGUUGGAGAGGAGUGCAGUGGGUAUCUUACGUGACCUAGAGACGGUUCUCUCUAUUCAGCCACUUUUUCAUAUUGAAAGGGUGUUACUGUAAGACCUUUAGGGGGAUCUACAAUGCUAUUAACUUUUCAUUCAAAUGGGUUAGAAAGAAAUGAGGCGUAACAGCUCACAUGCCUCCAACCCUCCACAAAUUUCAACCUCUUUCUUUAACAAUGGCAGACACCCCCCUCCUCAUAUCACUGUUAGAAUUCUCCUUCUAUCUCAGACAUUUACCUUGAGAACCUUCCACCCAGCUUAUCUGCUAAUUCCCUUUGGAAUGCUAUCUCCAUGUUGAAAAACAUCCUAGGCGUCUAUAUCCCAUAGUUGUAGGAGGUAUGCUUUUGUCAGGUUCCCCUCUUGGGCUCAGAUUCACAGGCUCCUCAACACUAUCAACAAUCUCUGGUUUGAAUCAUUCAAGUUAUACGCCUUCCCUUCCCUCCAUAGUAGUAAACAACCUGAUAGAUUUAAAUCGCCAUAACCAAACCCUCGAAUGCAUAAGCCUCAUGCCCACUCUAACCACCAAAUGAAUAAGCCUCAAGCUCUGUUCAUUUUACCUCGCAACAGACUAUUCCCAAACAGCAUCAAGUCUCCGGUUCUUGCAAAUGCUUCCUCAAAACCAAUAUUGGGAAGUCCUCAAAACAACAAUAAAUUCACCACAAGGAAUUUCGACAUCUGCCCAGGUGAGUCAAGAUCAUCAGAGCAUUGUUUUGUUGGGGGAAAAAUAUGUUAUUCCAGAUUUUGUGGCUGAGCAAAAUGCAAAAUGGCUAUCACAAUUUGCUGUCGCCACCUUGCUAGAUAUUCACUUUUUUGCCAAUCUUCAGGACUACCUUUGGGUAGAAUGUGUGCUUUACAUUCAACUCAUCCCAAUGGGUGGAGAAAGUGUCCACCUUACAUUCGAAUCAAAAGAGCUAAUGAUGGGAUUUGUUUCAGAGUACCACUCGUUGGUCAAUCAGUGGAUAUACGAUCUCAAACCGUGGGAAGCUGCUUCACACCUUCAAUCCAUUUAAUCUAGUUGAGGCUCUAGGGAGUUCCUCUUAAUGCUUGGUCUAACCACUUCUUCCAAUGGGUUGCAGGACCAUUUGGAAAAUUUUGUGGAGUUGAUGGACCAACAAGUUCAAAAGCCAGAUUAGAUUAAGCGAGAGUCCUCGUCACAACAACAAAUCAGGGACUCACUUACAAAAACUCGGCAGUGAAUAUUGAAAACACUCAAUUUCAUAUCCAUGUAUCCGAGAAGCAAUGCUCAGACUUAUUUAAACCUCCUGCACGUAGCAAUGGAGCAUCUAGCUCUUCCUCGGACGCAAGUAAAGAAAACAACGAUGACGUGGAACUCUCUAUCACAAAGGAUGGCUUAGAGGCUGCCACGGAAGAUAACAUCCACUCUAUUAGCGAAUCUUCUCAGAAGGAUUUGGAGGUUCCAAAACAACAAUCUGACAUGGUGAACUCAGCAGAAUACUGGGCUCUCAUUCACAGAGGGACUUCAUUCCCGUUAGCGCAAACAAACAACCCUCUUCGCUCAUUUCCCAUGACCUUGUUGAAUCUCUAAGUGCGCCGGCUCCCUGCUGUCUGUUGCAGUGUGCCGAUGCAUCUUUUGAGGACCCUCUAGCUGAGUCUAUUGCCACGUGAGGCUGGGGCGACGUCAUUUCUCCUCAUGCACCAUGUCAUUCGGAGUUUCCAGAACUUUUUCCCUCUGCGAAGUCCUCGUCCAUUAUUUCAGCUAACCUUUGGCUGUCGAACUAUCGGACUGAAGCCCAAAACGAUUUAAUCCCAAUUAAGCCCGUGUGUCAGGCCCAUCCCGUUAACUUGGCUUCUUUCUCACCUAUCCCGCAGCUUUUAGCUCAGGAGUCUCCCUCUCUCUCUUGGACACUCUCUUCCUUAAUCUCUCAUUCCUUAGCUCAUGGUUCUUCAAACCUCUAGAAUAAGGUUUUCAAAACUUCAAGAAUCUUGAAACGCAGAAGCCGCAGUAAGAACAUAAAAGACCUCAUCGGAGUGUCACCAAAAUUGUUUAGAGGAGGUAAAUCUUUCUCUCCCUUACAUCAGUGUUUUGGUGCUAGUAUCUCGCUUUUGUCUCUGCCCAUCUUUUGCACCUAGUAUUCCUUUGAGGUUUUGGAUCGUGUCUUUAGAAAUUCCGGCUGUUGAUUUGAUCCUGCUCUGAUGGUGUGCUGCCUUGUUUGUCUUGUUGGAAUCCUUUGUUCAUUUUUGUAUUGAUUUAUCUGGUUUGUUUUUGUGUUGUUCAGUCCCUUUCUUUUGGCCUUUGUGUUUGUUCGUCUUUUCCAAGUCUUCCUGGUCUUUUAAUAAAUUUUUCUUUGCUUGUCAAAAAAACAUUUCAUUCUAAUGAAGAAAUGAAAAGGUUUAUUGAAGACUCAAAUGGCUGGUUGUCACUGUAGUUCUCAUCUGUGGUUCUGUGGCAAGAGAAAUUUACUCCUUCCAAUCGGUAUGCUUGGGUAAGAUGUCACGGCAUCCCAUUGUUGGUUGGUGUCUUGACUUUUUGAUUUGGCUAAGUUCUUUUGUUGGCAAAUUCAUAUAUAUCGAUGAUUGUACAUCCAAGAAAACUCGGCUUGAUUCUGGCUCAAUUCUAAUGUCUACUUCUUCACUCAAGUUUAUUUACAAAAAGGUUGUUAUAGUUGUGGGAGAGACUAAAUUCUAUACAACUUUGAUUGAAGAUUGCUGUGAAGCAAUGCUUACUCCUAUGACAUGCAGGCCACUGGCAACUUCUUCAAAGGAUUUAUCUUCCAGAUCUUCCUUUGGUCGGGAUGCAGAACUUGUUGCUUCAAGUCCAUAAUUGGGUACAUUUCACAAGGGGUUAGGAAGCCAAGAUGAAAAUGGCGCUACACAAGUGGAUUGAUUAAUGUUUGAGAAAGGGAAUAAUAGUUCUGACAGCGACAUCUAUUCCUCCAACCAAAAAACACCUAGAGUUGGUGGGGAUACACUGCAUGUUCAUGGGAUAGAGUGUGGACAACUAGAUGGAAUUGUGCUUAGGGAUGAUGCUAUGCUUCUUUAUGCAGUUCAUAGAGUGAGGCUGUUGCCCAUUGCAGAGAAGGGCCUUGCAGUGAAGAGAGGCUUCAGCCUAAGGUGGAGUGAGGACAUAGACUUUAAGAGAAAUCGAUUUUUGUCCAUUGUUGAGAAUACUCUUGCCUAUAUAGUUGAAGUUUACACGCUUUUACAAUGCACAACAAAUUGGUAUUAGAGCAUGGGAUGAUCUUGAUGAGUUCAGUUGAAGGUGGAGCUGUUAUGAUAUAUAGAAGUCGCACAUGGUGAUGCAAGCUUAAGGUGAUGGAAAGUUGAAAUUAAGGUGGAGCACUUGAAGCAACAGCAAAAAGAUGAUGCAAAAAUUUUUUAAAGAAAGAAAUAAGUUACACCCAAGAUGAAGAUUGAAGAAUGGAGAUUUGAAGGGUUCAAGCUCAAGCAUGGAGAUUUGAUGACACCCAAGAAUUUUAGUUUACACGCUUCUGCAGUGCAUAACAAAUUUAUAUCAGAGUAUGGGAUGAUCUUGGUGAGUUCAGUUGAAAGUGUAGCUGUUAUGAUAUGUAGAAGUCGCACAUGGUGAUGCAAGCUCAAGGCGAUGGAAAGUUGAAAUUAAAGUAGAGCUCUUGAUGCAAAAAAUUUUUAAAGAAAGAAGUAAGUUACACCCAAGAUGAAGAUUGAAGAAUAGAGAUUUGAAGGGUUUAAGCUCAAGCAUGGAGAUUUGAUUAUUUAAUGACACCUAAGAAUUUUAGGUAUGCAAUGGUUAAUGGAUUUUGAGUCAAGGUGGAGAUUGUUAAAAUUAUGAUUUAAAAUCCUAAUAGGAUAUGAAUAGACCUUUUCUUAAUCUGAAUGAAAAAAAUAUUCUUCAAUAGGAUAUAGCAAUAUUUCAUAUUUAGAGUAGAAUUCUUAUUUUAGUGUUAUUCUUAAAUUGAGUGAGACUUUUAAUCAGAUUAGGAUUGAGGGAAUUAAUACUAUAAAUAGGAGAAUGGUGAAAAAAGUUAUUUAACUUUCAGUUCAUGGAGUGAGACUGUUGAUGAUGGGCACUUGCCCAUUGCAGUUGAGAGAGGCUUCGGCCUAAGGUGGAGUAAGGACAUAGAAUUCAAGAGGAAGAGAUUUUUGUCCAUUGAUAAGAGAGCUCUGUGUUAA